rnacentral:misc_RNA from 1 species
GAUGAAGAACGCAGCGAAAUGCGAUAAGUAAUGUGAAUUGCAGAAUUCAGUUAAUCAUCGAAUCUUUGAACGCACCUUGCGCUCCUUGGUAUUCCGAGGAGCAUGCCUGUUUGAGUGUCAUUAAUAUAUCAACCUUCUCUUUUUUGAGUUGUUUGGAUGUGGGGGUUUGCUGGCCUCUUAAAUGAUUCAGCUCCCCUGAAAUGCAUUAGCAGAACAACCUGUUCAUUAGCGUGAUAAUUAUCUAUGCUAUUGAAUGUGAGGGCAGUUCAGCUUUCUAACCGUCCUUGGACAAUUCAUCAUUAAUGUGACCUCAAAUCAGGUAGGACUACCCGCUGAACUUAAGCAUAUCAAUAAGCGGAGGA